rnacentral:rRNA from 1 species
AACGGCCAUACCAUGCUGAAUAUACCGGUUCUCGUUAGAUCACCGAAGUCAAGCAUCAUUGGGCGCGGUCAGUAAUUGGGUGGGUGACUACCUGGGAACACCGCGUGCCGUU